CAGUCGCCGCGGUAAAACGAAGGGGGCUAGCGUUGCUCGGAAUUACUGGGCGUAAAGGGCGCGUAGGCGGCGCUCCAAGUUAGGCGUGAAAUUCCCGGGCUCAACCUGGGGACUGCGCUUAAGACUGGAGUGCUUGAGGAUGGAAGAGGGUUGUGGAAUUCCCAGUGUAGAGGUGAAAUUCGUAGAUAUUGGGAAGAACACCGGUGGCGAAGGCGGCAACCUGGUCCAUUACUGACGCUGAGGCGCGAUAGCGUGGGGAGCAAACAGGAUUAGAGACCCCAGUAGUCCCUGUCUCUUAUAC
rnacentral:rRNA from 1 species